rnacentral:rRNA from 1 species
ACGUAGGUGGCAAGCGUUGUCCGGAUUUAUUGGGCGUAAAGCGAGCGCAGGCGGUUUUUUAAGUUAGAUGUGAAAACCCACGGCUUAACUUUGGGCGGGCAUUUGAAACUGGGGAACUUGAGUGCAGGAGAGGAGAGUGGAAUUCCAUGUGUAGCGGUGAAAUGCGUAGAUAUAUGGAGGAACACCAGUGGCGAAGGCGACUCUCUGGUCUGUAACUGACGCUGAGGCUCGAAAGCGUGGGGAGCAAACAG